GGACGCCGUGCGUCUCCCUGGAGCCGGUAAGGGUGGUGGCGGCUGUGGCGGGUGAGCAGGUUUUGCCGUUACUGCCAGCUGCAGGGGCGCUUGGGGUGCGGGGCCGGGCCGGGAACAGCGGUGGGCCCGUUCCCGAGUGCGAUCUCCGCGCGCCGCCCAGGGUUCGGCCUGAGCUGGCUCUGCAUCCGGACUCGGGCCAUCUGCGGUAGCCGGACCUCCAGAGCCACAGUCCCGAGAGGGCCGAGGACCAGCCGCCUCCUUCAGGCCAGGGUGUGCAGGCUUGCCUUGGAUACGGGCCGUGAAAGUGUUUCCCCAGGCUCUGGAAGUACCUGGUUGCCUGCGGAACGAACCCCGUCCUGUCAGCUUGGGCUGCCUAAAGACCCAGGGGUGGUAGGUGAAUGGAA
rnacentral:lncRNA from 1 species